rnacentral:lncRNA from 1 species
AAUGAACGAAAAUCUAUUCACUUUCUUAAUACCCCAACAAUUCUAGUUCUACCUGCAGUAGUAUUAGUCAUUUUAUUUCCCCACGAUACUAUUUCCAACCUCCAGUCAUCUAAUUAGUAACCGAUUGAUUUCCAUUCAACAAUGACUAAUUCAACUUGUAGUAAAACAAUAGUUAUCUAUAACUUUAAAGGAUGAACUUGAUCCCUUAUACUGAUCUCCCUAAUUCUCUUCAUUGCCUCAACCAGUCUCCUCGGACUUCUACCCCAUUCAUUUACACCAACUACCCAAUUGUCAAUAAACCUAGGUAUAGCAAUCCCCCUAUGAGCAGGAGCAGUAAUUAUAGGCUUCCACUUUGAGACAAAAACCUCCUUAGCUCAUUUUUUACCACAAGACACACCUAUACCACUUAUCCCUAUACCAGUGAUCAUUGAAACUAUUAGCCUAUUCAUUCAACCAAUGGCAUUAGCUGUAUGAUUAACAGCCACCAUUACAGCCAGACACCUACUAAUGCAUUUAAUUGGAGGAGCUACAUGAGUACUAUCAACUAUCAGUCUUCUCACAGAUUCAAUUGCUCUCAUUAUUCUAACCAUACUGACCAUCCUCAAAUUCACCAUAGCCCUUAUUCAGGCCUCUGUCUUUACACUACUAGUAAGCCUUUACCUAUAUGACAACA